rnacentral:rRNA from 1 species
GUGUCAGCCGCCGCGGUAAGACAGAGGUGGCAAGCGUUGUUCGGAAUUACUGGGCGUAAAGAGUCUGUAGGUGGUUUGUCAAGUCUUUGGUGAAAGGCCGUAGCUUAACUAUGGGAAUGCCAAAGAGACUGGCAGGCUGGAGGCUGGGAGAGGGAAGCGGAAUUUCUGGUGUAGCGGUGAAAUGCGUAGAUAUCAGAAGGAAGGCCGGUGGCGAAGGCGGCUUCCUGGAACAGUCCUGACACUGAGAGACGAAAGCGUGGGGAGCAAACAGGAUUAGAAACCCGCGUAGUCC